rnacentral:sRNA from 1 species
CGUCAAGAUUUUCAACCGAAUGCUGAUGGGAGAUAAUAUACAUUUUUCUAUUCGAGGACAAUUCGACUACUUUCUUUCAGCUUAAUACUGCUAACUGAGGAUAUGGGCUCGCAAAACAAUUCAAAUUCUGCCUUGAUUGAAUCAUGGAAUCGAAAAAUCCGCAAUUCAUCCUGGCUAACCGAUUCAUCCAGUUGCUUUUCACAACCCUGCAAAAUGGGGGAGAGAGAGUAGAAUAUCAACAAGUAAUCUCAUUCCUGACUCAGAACCCAUCAUGAAUAAUGCAUGGUCUUCGUAAUGCCAACCAAAAAUAAUCAAACAAAC